UAAGCUCCUGAAGCCAUUUAUCAAGUGUUGUGUUUUUUUUCUUUUUUUAAAAGUCUAAACAUGAUCCCACUCUUCACAGUUGCUGUUCCAGAGAGAGGGGAAGUGACUCAGAGGUGGCUUUGCAGAGAACAGAUUUCUGACACUUGCCUCCCAAAUGCUGUCAAAAUCACACCCCUCGCAAAAGACAUGUAAGCUGAGCCGAAGGAUGCUGUUAACAGGCCUGCUACCGAAAAGAGUAUCCUAGGAGGGAAAAGCAAGAAAGGAACACUGUUUUCUGGGGUCCUAUCAACUGAGUGGUCUCUGUAUCCAACAAGGCUGCUUUUCCUGAUCAAAAGACAGUGUAUCUCCAAUGUGAAGGAACUGCCAAGGCGCCUGUUUACUGCAUCGUCUUAGGCUUCUCCCCAGUGUGUUUUCUGCCCAAGGCAAGAGGAAAUUUGCAUGCUGCAGAAAAUUAGCAACUGAUGCACAGACAUCAGUGGAAACAUGCUGACGAGAGUGUAUCGCUGCCCAGGAUUCUCACAACCACAUGCCGUUUCCAGAGCACAGAAGAGAUUUCUUUCGGGGAGCUGUACAAGUGCGGCAAUCAGACGUUCAGCCCGAUUUUUUGAUGGCAUACAUUUAUAAAAAUACCAUUUAGAAAGAAACUCAAACCCACUAC